AUUGAACGCUGGCGGCGUGGAUAAGACAUGCAAGUCGAACGGGGCAACGCUUGUAGCAAUAUGAGUGUUGUUCAGUGGCGAACGGGUGCGUAACACGUGGAUACAUUCCGGAAAGCGGGGGAUAGCCCAGGGAAACUUGGAUUAAUACCGCAUGUGGUCGAAAGACUAAAGGUGGGGACCGCAAGGCCUGCCACUUUCCGAUUGGUCCGCGGCCUAUCAGCUAGUUGGCGGGGUAAAGGCCCACCAAGGCUACGACGGGUAGCUGGUCUUAGAGGACGACCAGCCACACUGGAACUGAGACACGGUCCAGACACCUACGGGUGGCAGCAGUCGAGAAUCUUUCACAAUGGGGGCAACCCUGAUGGAGCGACGCCGCGUGGAGGAUAAGGUCUUCGGAUUGUAAACUCCUGUCAUGCGCGAACAAGGUUGCUGGGUUAAUAACCCGGCAAAUUGAUGGUACCGCAAGAGGAAGAGACGGCUAACUCUGUGCCAGCCGCCGCCGUAACAC
rnacentral:rRNA from 1 species